GGGGAAUUUUGGACAAUGGGGGCAACCCUGAUCCAGCAAUGCCGCGUGAGUGAAGAAGGCCUUCGGGUUGUAAAGCUCUUUUGUCAGGGAAGAAACACCGGCUCUAACACAGUCCGGGAAUGACGGUACCUGAAGAAUAAGCACCGGCUAACUACGUGCCAGCAGCCGCGGUAAUACGUAGGGUGCGAGCGUUAAUCGGAAUUACUGGGCGUAAAGCGUGCGCAGGCGGUUAUACAAGACAGGCGUGAAAUCCCCGGGCUUAACCUGGGAAUGGCGCCUGUGACUGUAUAGCUAGAGUGUGUCAGAGGGGGGUAGAAUUCCACGUGUAGCAGUGAAAUGCGUAGAUAUGUGGAGGAAUACCAAUGGCGAAGGCAGCCCCCUGGGAUAACACUGACGCUCAUGCACGAAAGCGUGGGGAGCAAACAGGA
rnacentral:rRNA from 1 species